GCCGGUGUUCUCUUUCCUCACGCC
rnacentral:siRNA from 1 species